GGUCCUAUAGUUUAGUGGUAAUGACGUCGGAUUUUGAUACCCUAUCAGAAGCCUUCCGAAGACCCCGGUUCGAACCCGGGUAGGACCU
rnacentral:tRNA from 1 species